AUAGCGUAUAUUAAAGUUGUUGCGGUUAAAACGCUCGUAGUUGGAUCUGCGGCCGAGGAGGUCGGUCCCCCGAAAGGGCGGCUCACCGUCUCUCCUAGCCUACAGUCCGGACGUCCGUGCGUGCUCUUUACCGGGUGCGUACGGUGUCCGGAACGUUUACUUUGAAAAAAUUAGAGUGCUUAAAGCAGGCGAAGUAGCCUGAAUAAGGUGCAUGGAAUAAUGGAAUAGGACCUCGGUUCUAUUUUGUUGGUUUUCGGAGCCCGAGGUAAUGAUUAAGAGGAACAGACGGGGGCAUUCGUAUUCCGGCGCUAGAGGUGAAAUUCUUGGACCGCCGGAAGACGGACGACUG
rnacentral:rRNA from 1 species